CCCACGUACAGGAGGAUGUUAUAAAAGGAGGAGCUCAGGCACAAUUGCUUCAGAAACUCGCAAAACAUCAGAGCAAUUAACUUGGCUGUACAAGCCAAGAGAUAAUGUCUCUGCUCCUGGAAUCUUGAAAGAACGAGUAAGAUGUCAAGUCGCAAAAACUCAUCUUGUUGCAAGGAGACUCAACGAAGAGUUCCUCCAAGCAGAAGGAACAAAAGGUGCAGGGUUCUCUAUGAUGCUCCACUAAAGAAGAAGAAAGGUUACGUACGGGUCUGUGCCACAUACUACUACUGGAAAGGAGGGAAAAAGUAAUUUCUAGUGCUUCCCCAACUGUCCUGUUCAGAAAAUCCAUGUUUGGCACCAGUGACUCACCACCAGACAUCUUCCAUGAUAAGGAAGUCCUUCAAAGGAGCCACCAAUGAGCUGAGGGAAGACUUCAAGAUCCAGGAGCCUGCCUAUUACAGCAGCAAUGCUAGACCUGCCUGUUUGUCAGUAAACUCAUGAACAUGCAGUUCACUUCAGUUUCA